rnacentral:tRNA from 1 species
GGAGAUAUACCCAAGUGGUUGAAGGGGACAGUUUCGAAAACUGUUAGGGAUAAUAUCCGCGGGGGUUCAAAUCCCUCUAUCUCCG